GACGAACGCUGGCGGCGUGCCUAAUACAUGCAAGUCGAACGCUGAAGGAGGAGCUUGCUCUUCUGGAUGAGUUGCGAACGGGUGAGUAACGCGUAGGUAACCUGCCUGGUAGCGGGGGAUAACUCUUGGAAACGAUAGCUAAUACCGCAUAACAGUAGAUGUUGCAUGACAUUUACUUAAAAGGUGCAAUUGCAUCACUACCAGAUGGACCUGCGUUGUAUUAGCUAGUUGGUGGGGUAACGGCUCACCAAGGCGACGAUACAUAGCCGACCUGAGAGGGUGAUCGGCCACACUGGGACUGAGACACGGCCCAGACGCCUACGGGAGGCAGCAGUAGGGAAUCUUCGGCAAUGGACGGAAGUCUGACCGAGCAACGCCGCGUGAGGGAAGAAGGUUUUCGGAUCGUAAAGCUCUGUUGUAAGAGAAGAACGAGUGUGAGAGUGGAAAGUUCACACUGUGACGGUAUCUUACCAGAAAGGGACGGCUAACUACGUG
rnacentral:rRNA from 1 species